GAGGGUAUAGGUCAGUGGUAGAGCGCGUGCUUAGCAUGCACAGAGUCCUGGGUUCAAUCCCCAGUACCUCCA
rnacentral:tRNA from 1 species